CAAGCCCCUCAGAAACACUUACCGAGUAGCAGACAUCUUUAAGAUUUUAUUCUUAAAUUCGACGACAUAAAUCUAUUUGCCGUGAUCGGACACAAUGCCACCCAAAACAAGAAAAGGAGUAAGUCUUAUAACCAGGGGAACCGGCCGAAACGCAAAAGAAGGCCAACAAGACGUUUGAUCGAGGCAGCCAGCCAGCCAGUGCACACAGCAACCUCACAUGCACGGUUGCAACAACGAACCGGAUGCGCCAAACUAUCAAGCCCCGGUAAGAUUUGGUACCUUCAGCGGACGGAGGAAGUGCUAGUCUACAAGUGAUGUUAAAACAACUUGUGGGCUGGUCCACGAACAGCGAGGCUGUGGGGUUUAUGGUUGGACUAGCGGACAGAGUGGCGGUAUUCAUGCUGCUGACAGCGGUAGAGGCAGAUAUAUGUAUGGCUGAAAAUAAAUAUUUCACGUUCUAUGCUUGAAAACAUUAAUUGAUUAUGGCUUUUCUAAAUUAUUAUCGUAAAGUUAAAAAUAAAAGACUUAUAUUCAG